AUUGAACGCUGGCGGCAUGCUUUACACAUGCAAGUCGAACGGUAACAGGCCGCAAGGUGCUGACGAGUGGCGAACGGGUGAGUAAUGCAUCGGAACGUGCCCAGUCGUGGGGGAUAACGCAGCGAAAGCUGCGCUAAUACCGCAUACGAUCUAUGGAUGAAAGCGGGGGACCGUAAGGCCUCGCGCGAUUGGAGCGGCCGAUGUCAGAUUAGGUAGUUGGGGGGGUAAAGGCUCACCAAGCCAACGAUCUGUAGCUGGUCUGAGAGGACGACCAGCCACACUGGGACUGAGACACGGCCCAGACGCCUACGGGAGGCAGCAGUGGGGAAUUUUGGACAAUGGGCGCAAGCCUGAUCCAGCAAUGCCGCGUGCAGGAAGAAGGCCUUCGGGUUGUAAACUGCUUUUGUACGGAACGAAAAGGCUCUGGUUAAUACCUGGGGCUCAUGACGGUACCGUAAGAAUAAGCACCGGCUAACUACGUGCCAGCAGCCGCCGUAAUAC
rnacentral:rRNA from 1 species